CGGCACGGCGCACGGGUGCGUAACACGUGGGUAACCUGCCCUCCAAAGGGGGAUAACCCCGCGAAAGCGGGGCUAAUACCGCAUGACAUUCCGAAGACUUCGGUAUUUGGAAUCAAAGCCCGCAAGGGCGUUGGGGGAGGGGCCCGCGGCCGAUUAGCUUGUUGGCGAGGUAACGGCUCACCAAGGCAAUGAUCGGUAGCCGGUCUGAGAGGAUGGCCGGCCACACUGGAACUGAGACACGGGUCCAG
rnacentral:rRNA from 1 species